GCAGCCAUGUGGUGAGCACAAAG
rnacentral:snRNA from 1 species